AUGUCCUGCUACCUCCACCAGCACCUCCCUCCGCUCCACCAGGACCCCGUGGCGCUGUCCCCUGGCGUCCCCUUCCCGGCUCAACGGUGGCACUCCACCACCUGCAUCCCCCAGGCCGUGCCCGGCCAGGUGCCCCUGCAGCGGGCGAUGUCCUCCAGCGUGUGCCACCAGCAAAGCAUCACCCAGGCCGUGCCCCGCCAGCUCCUCGGACCCCCCUGCGUGCCCCAGCAGCAGCAGAUUGUCCCCAGGCGGGUGACAACGUGCGUGCCACCGCAGCAGCGCGUGACCGGCGGCGCGGGCGUCACCCAGUGCGUGCCGCACCAGGUGGGGGUGACCCAGUGCGUGCCGCAGCAGCUGCGGGUGCCACAGCCCGUCCCCCAGCAGCAGAAGAUCGUCCCCAGGUGUGUCACCACCUGCGUGCCACAGCAGCGCGUGACGGGCGGCGCGGGUGUCACCGGGGUCACCCGGUGCGUGCCGCAGCAGCUGCAGGUGCCACCGCCUGAGCGCAUCCCUCCCCAGCAGCAGCAGAUUGUCCCCAGGUGUGUCACCACCUGCGUGCCGCGGCCGCCCUACGUCACCAAGGGUGUCCCUCAGCAGCAGAGCGCCACCAGGUGCGUCCCCCAGCAGUGUGUGACCACGGUGUGUCCCCAGCAGGGCGCCCCCAGGUGUGUCACCACCUGUGUCCCCCAGCAGCGCGCGGCACAGAGCGUCUCGUACCAGUGGGUGACGGCGCCUGUCCCCCAGCAGCAGCAGCAGAGUGUCACCGCUGCUGUCCCCCAGCAGUGGCACGGCAGGUGUGCCACCAAGUGUGUCCCUCAGCAGUGUGACACCGGCGGGGCCAGCCUUUGUGUCCCUCAGCAGCAGCAGACCGGGACGGUUUGUGUCCCUCAGCAAGGUGUCACCAAGGGUGUCCCUCAGCAAUGUGCCACCAAGUGUGUCCCCCAGCAGCGUGUGACCAAGAGCGUCAUUCAUCAAAGUGCCACCAAAUGUGUCCCCCAGCAAAGUGCCACCAAGUGUGUCCCUCAGCAGUGUGACACCGGCGGGGCCAGCCUUUGUGUCCCUCAGCAGCAGCAGACCGUUGCUGGGGGCCAGCCUUUGUGUCCCUCAGCAGCAGCAGAGCGGGACGGUUUGUGUCCCUCAGCAAAGUGUCACCAAAUGUGUCCCCCAGCAGCGUGUGACCAAGAGUGUCAUUCAUCAAAGUGCCACCAAGUGCCUCCCCCAGCAAAGUGUCACCAAAUGUGUCCCUCAGCAAUAUGGGUCAAUCUGUGUCCCCCAGCAGUGUGUGACCAAGAGUGUCACUCAUCAGAGUGCCACCAAAUGCGUCCCCCAGCAGUGUUGCACUAA
rnacentral:lncRNA from 1 species